UCUACNUGCCAUCCGCGGCCUGGCGGCCGGGAGCAUGCGACGUCGGGCCCAAUUCGCCCUAUAGUGAGUCGUAUUACAAUUCACUGGCCGUCGUUUUACAAAGGAAACUUGUGCUAAUACCGAAUAAGCCCUUACGGGGAAAGUUUUAAUGCCGAAAGAUGAGCCCGCACUUGAUUAGCUAGUUGGUAAGGUAAAAGCUUACCAAGGCAAUGAUCAAUAGCUGUUCUUAGAGGAAGACCAGCCACAUUGGGACUGA
rnacentral:rRNA from 1 species